AUUGAACGCUGGCGGCAUGCCUUACACAUGCAAGUCGAACGGUAACGCGGGGCAACCUGGCGACGAGUGGCGAACGGGUGAGUAAUGUAACGGAACGUGCCCAAUCGUGGGGGAUAGCCCGGCGAAAGCCGGAUUAAUACCGCAAGAGACCUGAGGGAGAAAACGGGGGAUCGAAAGACCUCGCGCUGUUGGAGGGCCGGACAUCGGAUUAGGUAGUUGGUGGGGUAAAGGCCUACCAAGCCUGCGAUCUGUAGCUGGUCUGAGAGGAUGUCCAGCCACACUGGGACUGAGACACGGCCCAGACUCCUACGGGAGGCAGCAGUGGGGAAUUUUGGACAAUGGGCGCAAGCCUGAUCCAGCCAUGCCGCGUGCGGGAAGAAGGCCUUCGGGUUGUAAACCGCUUUUGUCAGGGAAGAAAUCUUCUGGGUUAAUACCUCGGGAGGAUGACGGUACCUGAAGAAUAAGCACCGGCUAACUACGUGCCAGCCGCCGCAGUAA
rnacentral:rRNA from 1 species